UGGGACGCCUCCACGACAGACCUGUCAGACAAACCUCCUCGGGGAGCCGAGGGGGUUGCCUCUGUUAAUUCGUCCAGCAUCGAGUGAGGCCGGCAACGGAGCAGCUCUAUGGGGAGCACCUCUGAGCGUGGAGAUCACGUUUCAUU
rnacentral:SRP_RNA from 1 species